rnacentral:rRNA from 1 species
GAUGAACGCUGGCGGCGUGCCUAAUACAUGCAAGUCGAGCGAACAGAUAAGGAGCUUGCUCCUUUGACGUUAGCGGCGGACGGGUGAGUAACACGUGGGUAACCUACCUAUAAGACUGGGAUAACUUCGGGAAACCGGAGCUAAUACCGGAUAAUAUUUCGAACCGCAUGGUUCGAUAGUGAAAGAUGGUUUUGCUAUCACUUAUAGAUGGACCCGCGCCGUAUUAGCUAGUUGGUAAGGUAACGGCUUACCAAGGCGACGAUACGUAGCCGACCUGAGAGGGUGAUCGGCCACACUGGAGCUGAGACACGGUCCAGACUCCUACGGGAGGCAGCAGUAGGGAAUCUUCCGCAAUGGGCGAAAGCCUGACGGAACAACGCCGCGUGAGUGAUGAAGGUCUUCGGAUCGUAAAACUCUGUUAUUAGGGAAGAACAUACGUGUAAGUAACUGUGCACGUCUUGACGGUACCUAAUCAGAAAGCCACGGCUAACUACGUG